UGAAAAUAUCUUAUUCAUUCAUACUAAGACAAAAGACUCUCAGAGUCAAAUGGUGGAACCCACUCAUUCUAUUUUUUAAAAUAUAAUGGCAGAGCUAUGGCUGACCUUGUUUGAUAUCUCCCCAGAAUCCAUUCCCUCUUUUUUAUUCAGGUAUGCACUGCCAAUUGCCUAUGUUACACAUCAUUUUUAAUCAAUUUAGUUCUUUUAAGCAUUCUGUCGAAUUUAAUUUGGACCUCAAACUUAAUUUGGCAUUUAGACUUAGAAGCAAUAAACAUACACUUAUUGAUCAUCUAUCUGCUUCUGUUUUGUUAGCAGCUGUGGGCAUUCAUCCAAGAAGACUCAAUCCUUGACUUCGAGGGACACAACUUCAAGCUGGAGAAUAGAGAUACAGUAGCAUAAUUGAGAAUACAUGAGAAAUAUGAUAGAUAACAAAUGAGCAGCAAUUCAAAUGGUGAAAACAUCCUUUUAAAUGGCUGCUCAGCACUAAGCAUGGGACUGAGCUCUCAGUAAGCACAUGAUGAGUGUUGAAGAGACCAGAAUUUUAGUAGAUUCAUGGAAGACUUGAAAUCCAAUGUCCACCUACUGCUGAAGUACCAGGAGCAAUAAAUGACCUCUUUUUGUAGGUGAUUAAAUAACAAAGAGCAGCUGAGGCAUCUCAUUCUCACCAGGCCCAAAUCAUGCUAUUGAAUGAAUUCUCUAAUGUGGGAGGAAUCUUUCUAAUACACAGGCAGAAAGGAGAUGAAAGAAACCAACCUUUCAAAGCUUCAUGCCAUGGAAGGACGUGACUGUCAUCCUCCUGGGUGAUCAUUGACGUCCCAUCAAGGUUGAAUUACUGGCUGAAUGGGUCUAGGAGGAUGAAUCUAAAAUCAAAUGCCAGUUGAAGAGCACAAUCUAUGAAGAAAGGCGGUGGAUGCAAUUGGACAAUCAUGCGUGAGGGAAUGUAAGUUUGGUUUAUUCAGAACUGAGAGUGACUGAAUCAUCUUGUCAGUCAGUGGUCAAUACAUAUUCUAGGAAAACCCACCUUGUUUCAGAUGACUUCCAGCCUGAGGAUUUGGCAGAACUCUUUCCUCCUCAUAUAAUUUCACCUUCUCAUUCCAUCUGUUUCCAGUGGAAAACUGACUAAUUAUCUGCAAUAUUUGGGGCUGUCCUAUCAAUUUCUACUAUAUUGAGGGAAACUGCUUUCCCUUCAAAAUUUUUAAGUUAUGGAUAAUCCUCAUUGAAUGUUCAUCUUUGUGGUACUUAAAUUGUGACUCAGAGCAUUUCACAUUGGACUAGUCACAAAUGCAGUUGUGGAGUUUGAAAGUGUUUAAUCUGGAUGCAGGCUCUGUUCUCUGAGCUCUAACUACUUAGUGUGCCCUGGGUAAACUGCGUCAGCCUCCAUGGGGGCUUGUCAGCAAUGCAGGCUCUCAGGCCCCAUUCCAGACCUACUAAAUCAGUAUCUGCCUCCUACCAGGAUUCCCAGGUAAGUCAUAUGCACAUUAGAGUGUGAGAAGUGCUGUGCUCAGAGCAUGGGGUGGAGGGAAUGUUGCAGAAUGACUCAGGGAACAUCCAAACUGACUGGCAGAAGGUUCAGUGGAGGAAGGAAAAGAAGGAUGAGACACAAGCAUUGGAAAGUGGGAGAAAAAGCUUUUCAGAAGCCAAAAAGGGACAUUCAGUAAGGACAGGGUUAGCCCUUACUGUCAUAUAUUGGAGGGAAGCUAGGGAGGGUAUGUCUAUAGUAUCCUACUGGAUUUGGCAUGGGAGAGGUUCUUGGGGCAGAGGUGGAAGCCAGAUUGUGGGUAAGUUUGAUCAGGAAAUAAUGACUGAAGGGUUUGACUUGCUGAGAAAUUUGACAGCUUUGGUGUUGAAAAGAGGUUGGAGAAGUCACUUUGGGGGUUAGCACCUGUGAAGACAAAGGGAGGGCUGUGAUAAGGAAUGAUUGAAGAUGAGUACUGAAAAAUAACCCUUUCCAUGCUGGGGGUGGUAGAAUUCACACGGCCUAUAGGCAGAUCCUUUAUUGGCUGAGGAUGUCUUUCUGGUAGAAGAGGGUCUGUAGGUGAUGAAAUGAUAAUGCAUGAGGACACAGGCCACCAUGAGAGGAAGUCUUCUUGAUUCAGUAGGAGGAGAGGUCUUCUGCUGAGAACUGAUAGGAGAACCUAAAGAAGGCUAAAAAAGAUAAACAAUGUUUGCAUGUUAAAUGUUUGCAUCGCUCUUACAGUGAAGAAGAAAAUCUUUACAUUGCUCUACUUGAGGUUGCAAAAUAUCUUUGAUAAACAGUAUAAUUGGUGACUUGAUUAAAUUUCUGGGUUUUGGAUAUCAGCAGGUUAGAGGUUAUUGCUGUUUGGUCAGCAUGAGUCAGCAUCUGGUGCUCUGUGGAUCAGAAGCAGCCCAAUUUGCUCUGCAUGUCAGGUUUUUGAAGGUGGGAGAACUUCAAGACCAUCGGCAAUAUUGCCAUCCCUCUCAUGGACUCCAUAGGUCUUGACUGUGAAGGAUGACAAGUUCUCAGCUCUUGGAGAUGGGAAGUAGGCUGAGAAGGAGCAGGUCUGGGCCAGGGGACUAACACUGCCAUCACCAAGGAAGCGAUACAAAAACUACCACUACAGUGGGUAAAGGGGCAUUUGAAAUCGUGUUCUAGUCCAGGCUGGUAUUAGUGUUCAGAGGCCCAACCAGGCACAUAACACCAGAAAUCUCUGGGCACAGGUGCUUUUAGUGACAAGUGAAUAGAAGGUCUUGCUUCUAAGAAGGUCCAUCCUGAAAGACACAGGACCAUGCCUCUGUUAGGCACCCACAAAAGGGUAUAGUAAUGAGGGCAGGCAAGGGCUGGGAAGGUUGUCAAUGAUUCAUUCAUUGAAUGAAUAUUGAUUAAGCUCUUACUAUGUGACAGACUCUGUGCUACAUUUUAGGAAUACAGUAAUAAACACUCAAAAACCUUUCUCUUUUGGAGCAUAUGUUACAAUAGGUCUUAACCCAGGGUGCUAUAGAAUCCAGUCCUGUUGAGAACUAUAGCACAAACUACCAACCAGGUCUGAUGACAGAGACUGGUCAGAUAUCCUGGGCGGUAUCUGUGUUUUUUGUGGGCCUACAGAGACCUGCUGAGAAGU